GCUGUCACAAAAGUAGGAGUCAAAAGCCCGAAGGGCAGCUCCACGGGGACACCUUUCUUCUCAGAUGUCCUUAAAAUGUGACUUCCGGCCUCAUGCUCAAUGCUCCAUGGUCACGCGAGGCUGGCUCAUCUCCUACAUAGCGUUUGUGUUCCAGCCCAAAAGAAAGGAAGAGAAAGAUCAUUGUUUCAAGAAAAAGUAAUAAUGCUGCACAAAAUGCUUGACAACAGUAGUACAAAGGCCAAGAGGAAGGAAAUGGGACAGAUGACUAUCAGGUUCUUCUGCUGUACAUGAAGAGAGAGCGUUUCCCAAAAGCUGAAGAUGGCUGCAUUUAUCUUUAAUGGAAACAAUUCAAUAAGAAAUGACAAGCUGUUCAAAAAGCAGAACUAGCAGUGGAAACACAGAUUUUCCUGAUAUCUGCCUUCCCAUUUUUUUCUCCACAGCACUGGAUUUAGAAUCAGACAGUUCUGGGUCUGAAUCUCGACUCCAAAUCUCGACUCCUCCCUUACUCGUCGUGUUACUUUUG